UACAGAGGUCUCAAGCGUUGUUCGGAUUCAUUGGGCGUAAAGGGUGCGUAGGUGGCGUGGUAAGUCGGAUGUGAAAUCCCGGGGCUCAACCUCGGAACUGCAUUCGAUACUGCCUUGCUAGAGUACUGGAGAGGAGAUUGGAAUUUACGGUGUAGCAGUGAAAUGCGUAGAUAUCGUAAGGAAGACCAGUGGCGAAGGCGGAUCUCUGGACAGUUACUGACACUGAGGCACGAAGGCCAGGGGAGCAAACGGG
rnacentral:rRNA from 1 species